UACAGAGGGUGCGAGCGUUGUUCGGAAUUACUGGGCGUAAAGGGCGCGUAGGCGGCCUUCUAAGUCGAACGUGAAAUCCCCGGGCUCAACCCGGGAACUGCGUCCGAUACUGGAAGGCUUGAAUCCGGGAGAGGGAUGCGGAAUUCCAGGUGUAGCGGUGAAAUGCGUAGAUAUCUGGAGGAACACCGGUGGCGAAGGCGGGUCUCUGGGCAGUAACUGACGCUGAGGAGCGAAAGCGUGGGGAGCGAACAGG
rnacentral:rRNA from 1 species